rnacentral:rRNA from 1 species
AGUGAGCGGCAAGAGCUCAGAUUUGAAAUCGUGCUUUGCGGCACGAGUUGUAGAUUGCAGGUUGGAGUCUGUGUGGAAGGCGGUGUCCAAGUCCCUUGGAACAGGGCGCCCAGGAGGGUGAGAGCCCCGUGGGAUGCCGGCGGAAGCAGUGAGGCCCUUCUGACGAGUCGAGUUGUUUGGGAAUGCAGCUCCAAGCGGGUGGUAAAUUCCAUCUAAGGCUAAAUACUGGCGAGAGACCGAUAGCGAACAAGUACUGUGAAGGAAAGAUGAAAAGCACUUUGAAAAGAGAGUGAAACAGCACGUGAAAUUGUUGAAAGGGAAGGGUAUUGCGCCCGACAUGGGGAUUGCGCACCGCUGCCUCUCGUGGGCGGCGCUCUGGGCUUUCCCUGGGCCAGCAUCGGUUCUUGCUGCAGGAGAAGGGGUUCUGGAACGUGGCUCUUCGGAGUGUUAUAGCCAGGGCCAGAUGCUGCGUGCGGGGACCGAGGACUGCGGCCGUGUAGGUCACGGAUGCUGGCAGAACGGCGCAACACCGCCCGUCUUGAA